UACGUAGGGGGCGAGCGUUAAUCGGAAUUACUGGGCGUAAAGCGUGCGCAGGCGGCUUUUUAAGCCAGAAGUGAAAUCCCCGGGCUUACCCUGGGAAUGGCGUUUGGAACUGGAAGGCUAGAGUGUGUCAGAGGGGGGUGGAAUUCCACGUGUAGCAGUGAAAUGCGUAGAUAUGUGGAGGAACACCGAUGGCGAAGGCAGCCCCCUGGGAUAACACUGACGCUCAUGCACGAAAGCGUGGGGAGCAAACAGG
rnacentral:rRNA from 1 species